UUAUGUAAGGAAGUUUCAAGUCCGGACUGAUAAUAAUUCACUGACUUGUGUUUUGAGCAGUCUUACUUGCAUUUUGUCCCUGUCCUUAGACUGUGAGCUCUUUGAGAGCAGGGGCUGUCUUUUGCCUUUCUUUGUAUCCCCAAUCCACAGUGCCAAGCAAUAGAAGGCUCUUAUUAAAUGCUAUUUAACUGACUGGUAAAGAAGAUAACGGCAAUCUCUCCACACCUGGCCAAGUCUUCAAUUAUAUUCUACUCCUCUACUAGUUCUGAACAAGCCACAAGGAGCAAUCCAAGUCAGUGCAGUCUAUAGGUGUCAUACCAGAAGACUAUUGGAGAGGUAGAAAGAGGCAGAAUCCAUAAUUCUUUUGGCAACCCAUGAAGAGGAACAACAUGUAAUAGCUUGAGUCAUCCAAAAUCAUGAGUUUCCUUGAUUAGGCAUAGUUUUUCCUAGAAGCCAUGAGUAGAACAGAUUUGAUGGACAUUUUCUCACUUCUAAUUGGAAGUGACUGGAGGAUGAUUGAGGCACUUAAACUAUGUCUUAUCUUCUAGGUUUGGAGAUGAUUUACAUAAGGAUCAAGGACUGUCUGCACCUGGGAGGAGCUGCACAGAUAACAUCAAGGGGAAGAAAUUAGAGAUUCUGACCCUGUGAGUUUCAAAAGGUCAUGAGGGCCCAUCUCUGCCAUCCUGGCAUCCUGGCAUGUCCUGAAGACCUGGAAUUGGGGCCUCAUAGAUAACUCAUCAUUGAUGCCCCAAGAAACAAGAAGUGCUUUUUGGAACCCAGUACUGUCAUCAUGGCAACAAGCAUGAAACUGGGACUAGAUUUCUGGUAACAACUGAUAAUCAUUCAAGAUCAUUCAGCCCCAAUAAGGGCCAAAGUUUGAACUAAUCAACCAGAAGAAUUAUACUGGCCUAACAAACAUGCUUUUCUUUGUUCUCUGAGUAAACUUAAAAAGCCCUUUCCUGUGUAAACAACACAAGGCCAGAUGAAGCUGACCAAGAACAUUUUUCUGUUUAAGGCCACUAAGGCUGGAUGCCUAGGACCAGACAUUGUCUUGAAUAAUGGGAUUUUUCUUAGCUUAAUAUUUUAUGGACAUAUACUAUGUUAUAUUAUGUUAGUGAUAGAAGAAACACAGAUGUCCUAGAUUGUAAUUUCAACUGAUACUUUGUCAAUUCUCUUAACCUGUUGUAUUUACAAGCUAUUCAACUAAGAAAAUUCCUUUCUCGUGCUAUGGUUAACCAUAUAUCAAGACCAUAAAUUUGAGUGACAUAGACAUCCUGAAUUGGAAUUGCUCUAAGAAUAUAAAUUGCUGAAGUAAGAAUUAAAGCUUGACUCCAUGUACAUGUAUAUGUUCACUAGCUUAAGGGAAUAAACAAUAUAAUUAUAUAUCACCUAGAUUGUUGCCUCUUUAACCAAGCUUCCAGGUUGACAUAACUCUAAUCACCACCCCACCUUCACCUGCUCCUGCUUUUCCUUCCAUGACUGCUUUGUUUCUCUGGCAACACUGCUACCACUUUUUCUAAUGGCUAUGACAUAUUUUUUGUUGAUAGAAUUGCCUUUAAUAUUCAUCUUCACUAGAGUUCACUUAUAUGGAAA